UACGUAGGGGGCGAGCGUUGUCCGGAUUUAUUGGGCGUAAAGAGCUCGUAGGCGGUUCGAUAAGUCGGAUGUGAAAUCUCCACGCUCAACGUGGAGGGGCCAUUCGAUACUGUCGUGACUCGAGUCCGGUAGGGGAGUGUGGAAUUCCCGGUGUAGCGGUGAAAUGCGCAGAGAUCGGGAGGAACACCAAUAGCGAAGGCAGCUCGCUGGGACGUUACUGACACUGAGGCGCGAAAGCGUGGGGAGCGAACAGG
rnacentral:rRNA from 1 species